AAACAUUUCUUUUUACCCUUCCUGAUGCUACAUUGUGGGUAAAGGGUACGUGACCAAUACUGAAAGACGUCAAGGGAUAUAUAACAUAAAAGAGGCGUUUCUUUUCUUUUCCUUCUUUCUUUCUUUUUCUGCAGAAGUUGCCUGUAGUGAUACAAUGAGAAAUCCCGAGUCGGCUGCAGUAUCAAGAUCAAGGUAUCAGCAACACCGGUUUGUUAUUAUUGUGGUGAGCUCGUGCGUAGUGUGAGGAUUGAGAAUUGUGUAGAGGUAGUCCUUGUUUUACACACGUGGACCUCUUGGGACAUAAGAGAUCGCUUCGCCACAGCUCAGAACAUCAUAACCAAGAGUGCCUGUCCUUUACACUGGUUCUAUUCUGCUUGUCCAUGGUAGUGAAGGUUAUACAGUAAUGAUACUGCAACAAAUAACUUUGUUGUCUUCACUGUCAAAAUGUCCACCACUGGCAAGAAAGUAUCUAGCAUCACGGAUCUUCUGUACUCGUUGGUGUCAGACGGCUACCACCUUCCCUUAUGCGCGAACUGUUCUAGUGAAUGAACAGAAAAAAUACUCAUGUCAUGAGUUCUUACAAAGAAGAAAUUUCUUUUCAUUUUUUAAGAAGAAUAAAUCUCCUGAAAAAUUCAGAGAGGAUGAUAACAUAUUGUCUCACUAUGAACUUGUGUACAGUGCGGUCUCCAUUUCUUAUGUUCAGUUAGCUCUGGGAGGUGUGCAAGCUGUAGCAGGGUUUAUAUGUCUAGGUUUGGGGGCUAUGGCUUGUGAAUUUUCUUUUGUAAACAAUGUAUUCUUACAGAAAACCCAUUAGAGCUUGGCGUAUUCGUUACUUUCAAUGUAAUGCUAUGUUUAGGAAUGUAUAAAUUUUGUACAUUAUAUCCUCUCCGGAUUUAUUACAGUGAAGUAGAGGAUAACUUCAUACUUGUUUUUGUGGGUGUACAUCCCUUAGCUGUUCGACAUUUGAAGGUUCUUCCUGGAGAUGUAAAACCAAAACUACCUGGAAAGAUUACAGCAAGUAUACUACCUUGGUCUGAACAGUUUUACUCUUCACCCACCCAGACCAUAUACUUGAAUGAUCAUCACUUCAGGUAUCCUGUCUACUACAACAAAUUGUUAGGUUAUGUGAGAUAAUCCUAACAACUGUUAUGCUAUGUAAUAGUUUUGUAAAAUGUAGCCAAAGUAAACAUUUGUAUAAGGAAACUUGUGAUAGUUGGGGUGUCCUUUAUUGUAGAUACAUCAAUAUUUACAAUAUCACUUAUGCACUUUCAACUAAACCAAUUUAGAACCAGUACACUUUUAGCAAGAGCAACUCAUUAGGAACUUUGUUACAAAAUGCUGAACCAAGGAAAACUUAAAAAUCCUGCCAGUACAUAACUUUUGUUAGCAAACAUCCUAAAGUAUAUGAUGUGUUUGAAAACAUGUCAACUUAUAACAUUUUCCCUGGCAAGCCUCUGAACCUGUGAACUAGAUGAUGUCUUCAUGUAGUAAACUUAAUCACAUUAAAGUCUAGUUGAGCCUGUUUAAGCCUAGUUGUUAUUUCAAUUUUGGUUUUAAAACCAUUAAAUCUGUUCAGUGUG